UGGUAGCGGCGGACGGGUGAGUAACACGUGGGCAACCUGCCCUAUAGUUUGGGAUAACUCCGGGAAACCGGGGCUAAUACCGGAUAAUACAAUUUAACUCCUGUUAGAUUGUUGAAAGAUGGUUUCGGCUAUCGCUAUAGGAUGGGCCCGCGGCGCAUUAGCUAGUUGGUAGGGUAACGGCCUACCAAGGCGACGAUGCGUAGCCGACCUGAGAGGGUGAUCGGCCACACUGGGACUGAGACACGGCCCAGACUCCUACGGGAGGCAGCAGUAGGGAAUCUUCCACAAUGGACGAAAGUCUGAUGGAGCAACGCCGCGUGAGUGAAGAAGGUUUUCGGAUCGUAAAACUCUGUUGUAAGGGAAGAACAAGUACAGUAGUAACUGGCUGUACCUUGACGGUACCUUAUUAGAAAGCCACGGCUA
rnacentral:rRNA from 2 species